rnacentral:lncRNA from 1 species
UCAGCCCGGCAUUGCUGUUAACCCAUUGGAUGGCUUCUCUGCUUCCAGAAAAAUAAGACUGUCUGUCCUGCCACCUAUCACCACGGAGACUAUCCCCGAAGCUGGUUUUCCUGCUACUAGGUCGGUUUCCCGAGUCCCACUCACCGGCUCCUCCUUUAACCUCCCGUGGCUGAGAAUUGCAAAAUCCAAAGAGUGGAUUAAAUCAUCCGCGGGCUCUCUUCCAGCCCUGCCAUCUGCGGUUCUGCGGCUCUUGAGAAAUCAGACCUGAAUACCCCCAAAGAGGCCUGGCCUUCCUAGGAGAUCUAAGAACCUUCUCGGCCUAGGCUGGGUUGCCAGCGCCCUCUCGUGAGCAGAUCUGACCCGUCACAGAGCCAGGAAAUGACGUCGUCAGGAAAUUGCAAAAUCAAAAUAGCAACGAGGCAAGCACCUAAAUAUUAAGGGUUGACCUUGAUCAGGGCUUUGGAUGCCGACCUGCAGGCCGCACGAGGCUUACCCCCUCCACCCUUGCAGCACCCCCAUGGAGGGAGCCGUGCUACUUCUGCCAUUUUAGAGAUCCCUUGUCCAAGGCCGCCCAGCUCCCACCCAAGCCCUGAACUCAGGCAGCGGGAUUCCAAGGCGUCUUCAGAACUCACCACUACCGUGUCCCAUCAGAGGAAAAUGACUUUAAGAGGCCAUAGAGUUCUUUUCUUCAUGGAGCGACUCAAAGGACUAAUGUUGCAGGGAACUCACUUCUGGAAACACCGUUCUAGCUCAUUGAUGCUCGGCUUGUAGGCGAGGAAAUGAAGACCCAGGGAGCUAGUGGACCCGGGGACUCAGACACUCGUCAAAAGAAAGACCAGCUCAUGACUGACCCCACCGUCAAGGAACCUUUGGAAUGGGGGCAGGUGCCAUCUACUGAGGCUGAUGUGAUGUGGAAUCAGGAUCAGGUUCAUGUCCACAAGCUCGCGUGGCAAGCACUGCUAUGAUGCCCGUCUGCAGAUGAGGAAACUGAGACACGAGCAUCAAAUAAGUUGCACGAGGCCACAGAACUAGUA